rnacentral:lncRNA from 1 species
UGCACGCUUUACAAGUGUUUGUAAGCCGCCAUUACACUAAAAGAAGGAGAUUCCCAGUCUUCCGAUCCGUAAAACUCGCGGAGAGUCGCGUCGCUGCGCUUGUUUACGCCUCCAUACAGUUACAGCGAUUAUGUAAAUGAGGCCAGCGACUGUAAAGUGACUGGUGAGACUAGAAUAUUGUUCGCUCGCGAUGACUGGAAGAUCGUGGACCCCCGAGGCGGAGGAGACCCUGAUCGAGCUCUGGCAGGAGUCUGCAUGUCUGUACGACAUUUCUUCCGCCGAUUACCACAACCGAGAGGAGAAGGACAAACGAUGGAGGGAGGUCGCCGAUGCGCUGCAGAUGCCUACGGAGUCGGUGGCCACCAGGGUGGCAUCUCUGAGGACUCAAUAUGCCAGACUGAGGAAACCGAAAGCAAGCGGGGGCGAGAAGAAGCCCCUCACGAUGAGGCAGCGCUGGCUCCUGAGGGCCCUUGAUUUCCUGAAGCCACACAUCGUUCAUCGGCGACACGAGACCACUCUGGGUUUGCCGUCCUCAGAUAAAGCGGAGGAGACUCUGGACGAGUCGGACGAAAUGUCGCAGGAGACGGAUAAAGAAGUGGACAGUUUCGACUCCAUCAGCGUGUGUCUCUCCCCGAUGCCCGGCACUCCAGACACCGGCAUCCCCGAGGAAACCGCCUCGUACUCGCUGUCUCCCCGGAGCACAUCCGGCAAACGCACGCGCUCCUCCGAAUCCGACAUCGAGCUGCAGAAGCUGGAGGUGUUGAAGCAGAUGUCCGCUAAAGUCCUGGAGAACCCGUCUCCGGACGCCGCCACAGUCUUCUCCAGCCAGGUGGCCAUGGAGUACCGUCUGCUGAGAGACCCCAGCGUCCAGAUGCGCGUCCGCCGGCAGAUCAUGGCUCUCCUCUACGAGGCACAGGAUUCAGAGAGACGUUCCCGACAGUCCAAGAGACACGUACAGAGAGAACUCAAAACUGAGGAGGACGUUACUUGGAUUAACACUAAUAUAUAAAUUGAAAUGUGGUUUUGUUACAGACAGUGUUCGUCUUGUUAAUGCUCUGAUUGUUUUCUACGUUGUACUGAACUAUUUUUCUUAGUGGAAGCUUUGACAUAAUCUACAUGUAAGAUAAUAAAACAAUUUCAGGUUGAUGUCCGUGUAUUAUUUCUGUAGAUGUUAGAUGAUGGAUAAUCAAAACAAGCCCUGACUGUUUUACUAGUAUGAUGUGAAGGGCCAUCAAAUGAUUUUUUGAGUCGAAAUACUGCAUCUGUCCAGAAGGUGGCAGCAUCAUGCAAGUGUACAGUUGAAUUGUUCAUUA